rnacentral:rRNA from 1 species
UUUAAUGGCCGCAGUAAUUUGACUGUGCAAAGGUAGCAUAAUCAAUAGUUUUUUAAUUAAAAGCUUGUAUGAAUGGUUGGACGAAAUAAAAUCUGUCUUUAUUUAAUUUAAAUUAGAAUUUAAUUUUUAAGUUAAAAAGCUUAAAUUUCAUUAAAAGACGAGAAGACCCUAUAGAUCUUUAUUUUAAUAAUUAUUUAUUUAAUUAAGAUUUAUUUAUUUUAAAUUUAUAUUAAAAUUUUAUUGGGGUAAUAAAAAGAUUUAUUUAAUUCUUUUUAAUUUUACUUAUUUAUGUAUAUAGUUUAUGAUCCAUUAAUAUUGAUUAUAAGAUUAAGUUACCUUAGGGAUAACAGCGUAAUUUUUUUAGAGAGUUCAUAUUGAUAAAAAAGUUUGCGACCUCGAUGUUGGAUUAAAGAUUAAUUUAGGUGUAGAAGUUUAAAUUUUUGGUCUGUUCGACCAUUGAAUCUUUACAUGAUCUGAGUUUAGACCGGCGUAAGCCAGGUCGGUUUCUAUCUUUAUUAAAUUAUAAUAUUUUAGUACGAAAGGACCAAAUAUUAAUUAAAUUAAUUUUUAUUUUGAUUAUUAUUAUUAUUUUGGCAGAUUAGUGCGGUGAAUUUAGAAUUCUUUUAUGUAAUAUUUUACAAAUAAUACUUGUUUUUUUUUGAUAUUAUUUUUAUAUUUAUUAGUGUAAUUUUAUUGGUUAUUUGUGUUUUAAUUGGGGUUGC